rnacentral:rRNA from 1 species
GGAGUCUGGACCGUGUCUCAGUUCCAGUGUGGGGGACCUUCCUCUCAGAACCCCUAAGGAUCGAAGGCUCGGUGGGCCGUUACCCCUCCGACUACCUAAUCCUACGCAUCCCCAUCCCGCAGCGGUGAAACCUUUCGUCCAAAUCGGAUGCCGUCAAUGGACAACAUAGGGGAUUAAUCCGUCUUUCAACGGGCUGGACCCUACUGCGGGGAAGGUUGGAUACGCGUUACGCACCCGUGCGCCGGUCGCCAUCAUAGGUUGCAAGCAACCUACAUGCUGCCCCUCGACUUGCAUGUGUUAAGCCUGUAGCUAGCGUUCAUC